AUACCAAAUUUGUAACUUAACUCGGUUGUCAAGUCAAAGGGUGCUUUUUUCAAUCAGAAGACAGCAUCUUAGCAGCCAAGUCAUCAAGCCACAUCGAAGGAUAUCUCACGUCCUUCACUUGGUCUGUUUUGAGGAACACAUCAGUGUUUAAUGCUGAGCUGGACUAUAGCCUUGAAACCUCAGAAGGACUGGAUUUGGAAAGAUGCAGCCUUCUGUUGGAGAAGCACAUUGAUCUGAGAACUGUCUCUCUUAAUAACCCAAGAAGCGUUGAAAAGAGUCUUCAGACCUUCAAGUCACACAGUCUGCGGUGCAACGUGUAAUGAGGACGCAAGGUCGUUUUUGAUGACGAAGCCUUCAACCCACGUUCCAUUAGAGUGACUGCUCGAGGGGAUGAUGAAAACAUAAAAACCAAAUAACAUCCUGACUUAAUGAACCUCACAGGCUCAUGAGUGCCACCUGAUUCCUGUUCAAGCUCAAUAGCUGGAGUACAAAGGGACCCACAGAACUGCAGUCCAGAGAGAGAGGCUGAGGUGCUCCGUGCUUACAACUACCAUCUUCAGCUCCCAGUGCUGUUUUUAUCUUCCGUGUUCAUCGUUUGCUUUGC